UAUGUUAGACUUGCCAUCUGCAGUUGCUGAUCUUGACACUGGACCAGACCAACCACAGGAAAUUCCGCCUGGGCCAGAUGACAUCACUUCCAGCUACGGGGACAGAUGAUGUCAGUUCCCCUGUCUGGCUUUAAAACUACCAUGUUUUAUCUGUCACCUCAGUUCUGGCUUGGUCUAUUGCCUGUAAAGACCAUUGCUGAAAUUUUUGCCUUUUUAUAGCCAAUUUUCAAGUACACGGGGUGUCUUCCCCAAACCUUUUUGCAGUGUCAUUUGAAUCAUUUCACAACAUACACCUUUGGGAUGUGGAAUGUUACCCAAAUGCCUGGAGAAAACCUAAGCAGACAUGAAGAGAAAUAGACCGCAAGACACUUUAAUAGUGACAGGGCAAAGAAUGACGUCAGUUGGCAAGUGAUUCCACUAGCUGUCAACAUGUAGAUGUAGUUUUCAAAAACAAUUUCAGGUUAAUUUUCCUUUUCUUUAUUAAUGUACAUUUUUAUUUUUAUUGAUUUUCAUAUUUGUUCCAUUAAUUAUUUGUACUUUAUUUUGGGUUAUGGCUUGUCCAUUCCAACUUCACAAUUUUAGAGACCUGGCUUUUUUUCUGUUAAGAAGUACUUUCAGGACCUUUAUGUUACAAUAUGAGUCCACAGAAUAGAGAUAAGAUUAUUUUCUAAUGAUACAGUUUAUGAACUAAAAAACCAAUUGACUUUUCAGUUGCAUUGGCCAUAUAUUUUUGUGUUUGUACGUGUACUUAUGGUCUUUCUUCAUUUCAUACAAAUUACUUGUAACUAUACUGCAUGCCAUUUCCAAUCCAGUUUGCAUUUUGAAAGUUAAUAUUUACCAUGGAGUGAGAUAAAGCCUGCUCUGUAAAGUCAA